rnacentral:lncRNA from 1 species
GAUGCAGCAAUUCAAGUGGAGUCUAUGGAAGAAGUUUCACUAUUGGAUAAAAGAUCUCCCAACCUUCCUAGAGAUGCACCUGAUUCUACAAGCUAUGCACGAUCAAAUGUGGAUACUGAUGUUAUAAUGCUGGCUUCUGCAAAUCAUGUUACUACUAAUGCAAAGGAUGGGCAUGUGGCUGAUCUUGAUGGGCAGCAUCACAAGUGCAAUGGGCAUGCCUCUGCUACAA